rnacentral:lncRNA from 1 species
AAACCCCCCAGAACUUCCUGCGAAGUUGACCCCUCCAUCACCUCAUCCGAUCGAUUUCAUCCACCUCUCGCCUCCUACCUCCGCACCACCUGAAGUACAUUCUAAGCCCUGGCCCCCAAACCUUUGACGGAGAGGGGGGUCGAUAGUCCACUUCUUAAGCAAUAGUCCGGUGGGGGAGAAACGGCUAACCCGCACCUUAUAUUGACAUAGGCUAGCAUAUGGAGUAACCCUCGUUGAACCAAGGCCCCCCGACCCGCUUUGGCUGAUCGGGGGGUUCCGGGAGCAAAUUCUGGUGGGCGAGUACAGUGGAUCCUAGAUCGAUCGAACAAGGUAACUUCGAAAACAAACUCCCGAAUCUUUCCCAAACAGCUCUUCCAUAGUUUUUCCAGUCCGCAGCAACGACUCAGGUUUGGAUGGGCGAAAUCACGACGGCAGCCACAAAAAAAUGGAUCUCCGACAUCACACAACCCGACACACCUAAGUUUCGCGAGGCUCGGCCCCUCUUCCCCUUCGGAUGUCCCCCUUCGGUACACCACCACAUCAUGCCAUCCAGUCUGGAGCGUCGCCGACUCCCGUUGGCCAAGGUAGGGCCAACACAAGAGUAGCGGACGAACCAGUCAUCUGGUCUUACCGGAGAAAGGGAGAGGUAGACUGCCACCACCAAACCCCACCCAAGCACACACCAGGCAGCAAAAAGCCAUCAUCCUAAAAGAUGGUCCCACUUCACAAGACGAGGAGGUUCCCCGUCCUUCAUUCCAACCCCAGGUGAGAACACACACACCCUUCUUUGCGAUGGAUAAAAGGCAAAAAGAGAGGGCAAAAAAGCCAACGGCAAAUUCCAACCAGACCCCCAGAGGCACACACCACAAAAAGUGAAGCCAGAGAGAGCCAGACAAAGAGAAGGAUAGAGAGAGAGGGAGAGUAGACCCCCCCGGAAGAGAAUCAUAGGUGCUGCGGCCUUUUCGGGAAUGUGACCAGGAAAGAGAGAAACCGACGAGGCCGAUACACACAUUAAAAAAUGAAAAAGUAACCAUCACCGCGAAGGAUUUCCUCAAAAGACAAAUCAGCAAGAAGUAUGUCCAAUCCCGGGGGCCCAUCGCCCCUCCAAAUUAAUGGAGGGGUCGGAUAGAAAUUUAUAGAAAUGUUACUUUUGUGAAACCCCUAGCCGACGAGAGAACUCUCACCGGUUUCGAAGUUCCAUUUUCACAUUCCGACCUGGGAUGUUAUGACUCCUCGGCCCACACUGCGAACGCGUCCCACACCCCCUCCAAGUUUAUCAGGAAUUUCACCUGAGCUUGCAAUAGAGAUCGAGCGCGGUGGCGGUCACAGUGGUGGUCGACCAGGCGGAGCUUGAACGGCCUCGGCAAACACUUCUCCCCACCCUCCCAAAUGAAUGAGAGAAUGGCUUGACAAUACCGAGGCCAUCGCCCCCCGCCAAAAAUGGUUACUAGCUCUUGGGACUCGCUGCGACGUUACGCGUAUCGGCACAAGACCAACCCUCUUUUUCCAGUCGCCCGCGCACCAAAAAAAAUUUUGGCAGCGGGACUCACAAUCCUUGACAGCCAGCUCACCAUAUAAUACUCGGCGACCCUCCGCGGGACCUCCUCAGAGGGUCGCGUCGCCGGGAAACUAACCCCCACUCCUCACUGAUCCAAGGUAACACGCCAGAAGUAUCCAGGUAACCCCAGUAGUAUCCAGGUAUCCCCCCUGCGAACGUCGGUACUGGGCUCAAAGAAGGCAGCGAGCAGUCGGGACCCGUAGGCACCGAGCAACCGUCACCCCCUCACGACUUUUCCCGAGACGCUUCAGAGGAACCCUUCCCCCACAUAGUACUCUCUGUGGGAUUCGGCAGGCCCCCCCGUCCUACUGCACUAAGGAAGUUCCGAGACACACUUUUUUUUGUGGAAGACCACCCACCCUCCCUGUCCUGCCUGCUAUCCCCGCCGCGACUCCUGGUCCCGGCCCUCCUCCCCGACUUCCUCCUUGUCCCGCUGCGAGUCCCGGACCUCCUCCCCCACUACCUACUCCCGCCGCGAGUCCCAGUCCCGGCCUUCCUCCUCCUCCUCCUCUUCCCUAGUCCCGGCGCGAGUCCCGGACCUCCUCCCCCACUUCCUAGUCCCGUCGCGAGUCCCGGACCUCCUCCCCCUCUUCCUAGUCCCGGCGCGAGUCCCGGACCUCCUCCUUCUCUUCCUUGUCCCGCCGCGAGUCCCAGUCCCGUCGCGAGUCCCGGACUUCCUCCUUCUCUUCCUUGUCCCGCCGCGACUCCCUAGUCCCGUGGCGAGUCCCGGACUUCCUCCUCCUCUUCCUUGUCCCGCCGCGACUCCCUAGUCCCGGCGCGAGUCCCGGACUUCCUCCUCCUCUUCCUUGUCCCGCCGCGACUCCCUAGUCCCGGCGCGAGUCCCAGUCCCGUCGCGAGUCCCGGACUUCCUCCUCCUCUUCCUUGUCCCGCCGCGACUCCCUAGUCCCGGCGCGAGUCCCAGUCCCGUCGCGAGUCCCGGAC